GGGUCUUAGGAUACUUGAGGUUAAAUGUCCUUAGGUUUGAAUAAGUACUGGGCUGGGUGACCUCUCGGGAAGUCCAAAUUUAAGAACUU
rnacentral:rRNA from 1 species